rnacentral:snRNA from 1 species
AGCUUUGCGCAGUGGCAGUAUCGUAGCCAGUGAGGUUUAUCCGAGGCGCGAUUAUUGCUAAUUGAAAACUUUGAGUUGGUCCUCUUUGGAAUUCGUUUUACAUUUUGCUUUCAUAUAAAUGG